rnacentral:lncRNA from 1 species
UUUUAUUUCAUCUUUUAGAGCCUUUUAUAAUAUACAGAGUGGCUCUGGAUUAAACUGAUUGCAUUGAAAGUUUAUAUUUCUAUUUCAAAAUGCCCCCUUACACGAUGCAAGCUUGACAUCUUGGUGAAAUUGAAUUCAUCAUUAUCUUACUUCAGUUCAAUGAAUGCAUUAUUAACCCUUUUUAUUAUUUGAACGAUACAAGGGUAAAAAUCUUGAGGAUCCAAGCAAUUUGUGAAUAAAUUCGAACUCACUAUUCAGUGAGGAGUAUACCACGAGUGUUGUCAUUCUUCUCAACAUCCUUACAACUUUCUCGCUCGUCAAAGAAAUCCUUCGAUUGUCUUUGUUCCCAAGCAAAGUACGAAUGCUCAACCAACAGAUUCUCAGAGUAAACGCGGCCGGUUUUCGAUACACGCAUGCACGCGACACGAUCCCGCGAUAGAAGGCACGAACAAGGAGAAGCUCCUCGAAACACGGAGUGCCUCCGUGUACGCGCGUUUCACCGAAACAGCACGGCUGUUGGUAAUUGCCACGGCUGCGAGGAGAAAUCUAACGUAAAUCCAACGCGAUACGUUUAAUCCCGAGGAAGGGAUCACCACCUUCCAAGAAAACGGAUCAAUUUUUACAUUUUUACAUCCGAAUCUUGUCAAACUUUUCUGAAACGAAGAAAGAAAAGAAGAAAUCCGUCCGUCCGUCGAUAUUUCCAUCGAGAGCAUCCUUCCGAGAUGCGAAAUAUCGAUUCAUCGAGAGAAGAAUUCCUGGGAGAAAUCUUGGGAACGGUGCGUAAAUUUCCUCUCCGAUCAAUUUGUUUCGCAUCUCUUGACGCGAAACAAGAAGAAAGAAAAAAAUAAAUAAAUAAAUUCGACGUAGAAUCCAAAUCGAUAUACAUUAUCUCGAUCUCCGCGAUGGAACACGAUGUCGAGACACUUCUCUCUCUCUCGACCGGAUAGAUAACCGACAAAGAAGAAAUUGAAGGGAGGGGGGGAGGAGUUGGGACGAAUGGUAAUUGGGCGGAAAGAUAACGGAAAACGGUGUGGCGUGUCCCCCGGUUUGGUAAAGGUGAGAGAAGGUUGAAGGCUGGGAAGGAUUAUCGCGCGGCGGAGUUGGAAAGUGCGGGCGAGGGAGGGGGGGGGAGGAUAGAAGGUGGUACGUGCACCGUAUUGGUAUCGUUGGUACGCUCGCACCCAACGGUACACCCCGUUAACGCGCUGCCAUUUUCGAUAAGAGAGGUUGCAAGGACGACGGUGAUCGCGCUCGACGCGUAGGCAAGCUGCUCGUAAAGUGUUUAGCCAAGGGGGGGGGAGGAGGUGGGCAGGUGGGGGAGGAGGUUGGUUGGAGGAGGGACUCGUCGGAACGGAGUAGAUGAGUUAAACUACACGAGGUCUGACGCUAGUAAUUGAGUGCCGCUCUGUCUAGUUAGCGCCUCGUGCCACCGGCUCACAAACCCGUCACUUUAUCGGCUAAACGACAUGCGAUGCGUGACAAAUCCAUCUUGCCUUAACCGCGGCGCCGCCUAGGCUCGAGGACGACCCCCCUCCUCUCCGUUCAUUAUCGGACGACGUCGAAUUCAUUCGGGAUCCGUUCAUCUGAUAAUUACCCCGCGCUUCGUCGAGUUCAUCGGCGCGAAAAGAAACUUGGAAAAAGAAGAAGAAGAAGAAGGAGUUUGUUGGUCGUUGCAUUUAUCCAUCUGCCCGAACGAAUCUGUACAAGUGUUCUUGCGGCCAAGAUUUACGCGUAGAGGUUAGAGACGAUCCGGCUCGUAAGAAAGUAAGAGGAACGUCUCCCGUUUUUUUUUCCCCUUCUCCCUGUUCCUCUCCUCUCUCGUUCGCGCCAAAUCAGAUUUUGGUGGAGAGCGAACGAAACGAAACGAAACGAAACGAAACGAAAGGAAUACGAGCCGGCUAGUUUUGGCUCUCGAGCGGAUAAUUGAAUUAUGCGAGCCGAGGGGCCGGCAUCCGAGUGGGGGAGAAAGAAAGAAAAGGCGGAAAGGGAAGGAUGAUGGGUGAAAGGGAGUGGGGAGGGGAGAGGAGGGGAAGGCUCAAAGUUGAAAUUUCACGCGCCAUUGUUCGAUUCCGGCCGAGGAAUAGGAGUUAGAAGCAUUUAGGGAGGAGGGGGGGGACGGCAGGAGGCGGGAGGAGAGGGGAGGUGAAUUACGGUCCGAGAUACGGGCAAGACGUGGCGAAGAAGCGAGAGGGAUGGCGCGUGGAAGGGGACCGAGAGGGGUCCGCUACCGGCACCGAGACUUUAAUUCCGUGCUACAUCGGACGGCUAACUGAGCAACGAUUCCUGCCCUUCCGUGAACGGCUUCUCGAUUUCGGCUCCGCGUGGCGAAGCGAGAUUAAUCGUGGCUCUCGCUUUCGCUUUCCUCUUCUUUCUUCCUUUCUUUCGUAGCACGAAGCGAAAGAAAAAUUUAAUAAACACGCGCGAAGUUGGGAAUAUGAAGAAUUUUAACAUUUUAAAAUAGGGAUAGAGCGAAGAAGACGGAGGAAGGGAAGGAAGAGGAGGAGGAGGAAGAAGAAGAAGAAGAGGAGGAGGAGGAGGUCGGUGGCGAGGGUGAAGAGAAGAGGGAGGAGAAGGAGGAGCCCGCAUUCUCGGAGAUUAUCGUGCUCGCCAUCAGCGUAUCACAGCGUCACAGGACAAGAUUUAUAUGUAGAGUUUAUUGUCGCUGAGUCCGCCCUACUGCGUUUUAUGGAUGUUUUUCGAAGGAGCGCUGCCGUCCGUGUGAUCUAUCGCAGCGCCCUCACUCCCUUCCCACUCCUGCUCCUUUCUCUCCUUCUCCCUUCCAUUCUCUUCUCUCUCUCUCUCUCUCUCUCUCCCUUUCUUUUUCCUCCCGUCCACCUUUCUACCACUCUAACUCUUCUUCCAGAUCUCUCUGUACUUUGCUCCGAUUCGGCAGACGGGGGUGGCGGACCGGAGGGAUCCCUAAUGAACGCCACGACCGAGUCUCUCCUUUCC